rnacentral:rRNA from 1 species
GACGAACGCUGGCGGCGUGCUUAACACAUGCAAGUCGAACGGAAAGGCCUCUUUCGGGGGGUACUCGAGUGGCGAACGGGUGAGUAACACGUGAGUAACCUGCCCUUGACUUUGGGAUAACUUCAGGAAACUGGGGCUAAUACCGGAUAGGAGCUCCUGCUGCAUGGUGGGGGUUGGAAAGUUUCGGCGGUUGGGGAUGGACUCGCGGCUUAUCAGCUUGUUGGUGGGGUAGUGGCUUACCAAGGCUUUGACGGGUAGCCGGCCUGAGAGGGUGACCGGCCACAUUGGGACUGAGAUACGGCCCAGACUCCUACGGGAGGCAGCAGUGGGGAAUAUUGCACAAUGGGUGGAAGCCUGAUGCAGCAACGCCGUGUGCGGGAUGACGGCCUUCGGGUUGUAAACCGCUUUCGCUCAUGACGAAGCUUUGUGUGACGGUAGUGGGUAAAGAAGCGCCGGCUAACUACGUG